AUUGAACGCUGGCGGCAGGCCUAACACAUGCAAGUCGAACGAGUGGCGGACGGGUGAGUAAUGUCUGGGAAACUGCCCGAUGGAGGGGGAUAACUACUGGAAACAGUAGCUAAUACCGCAUACCAUCGGAUGUGCCCAGAUGGGAUUAGCUAGUAGGUGGGGUAACGGCUCACCUAGGCGACGAUCCCUAGCUGGUCUGAGAGGAUGACCAGCCACUCUGGAACUGAGACACGGUCAGUACUCCUCCGGUAGCGAGCAGUGGGGAAUAUUGCACAAUGGGCGCAAGCCUGAUGCAGCCAUGCCGCGUGUAUGAAGAAGGCCUGCGGGUUGUAAAGUACUUUCAGCGGGUAGGCGUUACCCGCAGAAGAAGCACCGGCUAACUCCGUGCCAGCAGCCGCGGUAAUAC
rnacentral:rRNA from 1 species